AGUUUGAUCCUGGCUCAGGACGAACGCUGGCGGCGUGCCUAAUACAUGCAAGUCGAGCGGACAGAUGGGAGCUUGCUCCCUGAUGUUAGCGGCGGACGGGUGAGUAACACGUGGGUAACCUGCCUGUAAGACUGGGAUAACUCCGGGAAACCGGGGCUAAUACCGGAUGGUUGUUUGAACCGCAUGGUUCAAACAUAAAAGGUGGCUUCGGCUACCACUUACAGAUGGACCCGCGGCGCAUUAGCUAGUUGGUGAGGUAACGGCUCACCAAGGCRACGAUGCGUAGCCGACCUGAGAGGGUGAUCGGCCACACUGGGACUGAGACACGGCCCUACGGGAGGCAGCAGUAUCCGCAAUGGACGAAAGUCUGACGGAGCAACGCCGCGUGAGUGAUGAAGGUUUUCGGAUCGUAAAGCUCUGUUGUUAGGGAAGAACAAGUACCGUUCGAAUAGGGCGGUACCUUGACGGUACCUAACCAGAAAGCCACGGCUAACUACGUGCCAGCAGGCACUUGUCCGGAAUUAUUGGGCGUAAAGGGCUCGCAGGCGGUUUCUUAAGUCUGAUGUGAAAGCCCCCGGCUCAACCGGGGUAUGGGGAACUUGAGUGCAGAAGAGGAGAGGUAGAGAUGGGAGGCCAGAAGGCGAUCUGUAACGACGA
rnacentral:rRNA from 1 species